rnacentral:rRNA from 1 species
AUACGGAGGAUCCGAGCGUUAUCCGGAUUUAUUGGGUUUAAAGGGUGCGCAGGCGGCCAUUUAAGUCAGCGGUUAAAUCGUGGGGCUCAACCCCAUUCUGCCGUUGAUACUGGGUGGCUUGAUUGCGGUCGAGGUUGGCGGAAUUCGUUGUGUAGCGGUGAAAUGCAUAGAUAUGACGAAGAACACCGAUUGCGUAGGCAGCUGACCAGAUCGCAAAUGACGCUCAUGCACGAAAGUGCGGGGAUCGAACAGGAUUCGAUACCCUGGUAGUCCGCACAGUAAACGAUGAAUACUUGUUUUCGGCGAUAUAAUGUCGGAGGCAAAGCGAAAGCGAUAAGUAUUCCACCUGGGGAGUACGCCGGCAACGGUGAAACUCAAAGGAAUUGACGGGG